rnacentral:lncRNA from 1 species
GGACUUUUCAUAUUAAGUCCUGUCUUAGCCAAGGGAGAAGAAUGUAAGGAUAAGACCACCAAUAUCACAGGGGCUGUCUGAGCCUUUACCUGUGAUUUUCUACCACUCUGUGGCCUUCUGGAGCAAUGGACAGCCAAGUCAGCUAUGCAGUUCACAAAAGUGGACCUGGUUAUAUGUCAUCCAACAGCAUAUGGUCCCUGCAAGCCUGUUCGGAAGCCAAUAUUCUAUAACCUACAGGAAUCCACUGAAUCCGAUGUCUUUGGAAGCAAUACAUUUUCCAGGUAAAGAAUCAGUCUUUAUUUGGAGGAUGAUGUAACUUAAACAGUGACUUUCAUGGGUGGUGUGGGUAUAUUUAACCUUUUACAAUCUCCCUCUACAUCUCAGCUGAGCUCACCAAAAGGCUCACUCAAUCAGACAGGUAAACACAUUUUUGACUAUUAAAGUGCUAUUCCGGGGCAAAGUUUUUCUCAGUUUCGUUUAACAGCAGCUUCGUUGGAAACAAACAAAAAAAGCUAUCUAUGGAAAUAGGCCUGGGGAAUGAAAAAAAAAAUAACAAGCCUCGUAACUACUUUGGAACAUGACAAAUGUAAUGUGACUUGUAGAUAUCAGCCCUGGUACUGGUGACUGAUACCAAAGUCUCUGAGGUACGUGUUCUAGGGAAACAUAAGGACAAAAAUGGCAAUGAGGACUAAACCAGAAAGAACAAUUAGUAUUAAUAACAAUGACCCCAUUAUAAAGGAAAAGCAAAAUUAAAACUGAGAAGAAAGUGCAAAAAACCCACGUACGUGCAUUUGCUAUUGUAGCAGACCUAUAUUUUUUAAAAGGAAAAGCAAUGCAGGGUGCAUUGGACAGGGUUCUUGAACUCAGAAUAUCUUACAGUGGUGUACUCUUUGCCAAGAAGGCAUCACCAAUUAAGGUAUUUGGCAGAGAUCAGCCUCUAAAACUCAUUAUCACAUAGACACCUUCUGUCUGAUAUCAAUUCUGCACCCUGAUGUUUCUCGCACCCUUCUCUACUGGGGAAAUUCCAGUCCCAUUCACUGCAGGCAGGUGUUUCUCCUUUUAAAGUGGCAUCACUCCUACCUAAGGGAUGAGAGUCUCCUGGUAAGGCUUAGCGGCAAGUGCGUACUACAUCUGUAUUACAAGGAGCAGCCCCUGAUUUUCUUGAUAUGCAUAGCUUUUCGGGGUUGGUAUUAGACAUGGCUUUCGUAAAUAAUGCAGGUGUUUUUGUCAUGUGUCACUGCUGGCUCUGUGGCUUCCAGGUAAGCUGGCGGCAGUACCUUAUCUGGUACCUCAACAGGUGUUGGCUCUUCAGAUGUUAGCUCGGUGGACGUGACAUCGGUAGAAGGCUCUGCAGUUUCGGGGGAAUGUUCCGCCGACAGUUCUGUCUCCUCUACAUCUUUGACUUCAAACUGUCCACCCUCUUGGUCAUCUGCAUGCUCUUUUUUGGACUGCGGGUGAACUGACACCUUGAUGGCAAUUUGCUGAGGUUGCUCGUGCAGCGAUGAGGCGUCCGAGUCAGCGGCAGGGGAGUCGCUCCGCUUCAGAGAGUUGGGGAUUGUGUAGACCUCAUCCCUGUCUGUGGCCUCCUGGCCCUCUGGAGUAUGCCUCACAAAAUUCUGUCCCUGCUCCUCCAGCCCAACCACCUCCAUAAUCUCCUCCAUGAUAGUCCUGCAGUUCAUAAUGAGAGGCGGCAGAGGCACGCUCCUGGCAAGCUCUUCGAUGUAGCGGGCGAACUCCAUGGUUUUGAACUGGGUGACUUUGGCAAGCUCUAGAGUUUUGGCGGAGGUGAUGAUGGGGAUGCGCUUGGCGAUCUCAAAUGCCUUCUGCAGCUUCUCUGCACCUUCGGUCCUAAAGAACUCAUUGAUGGCCUUCUCAGUCUUCUUUAGAUGGCUGCUCAUCAUGCACAGGCGGGUGAUAUUGAGGACCAUGACGAUGGUGAAGGCCACCAGGCACACGACCAUGUAGUAGACACCCAUGUCUCCAGAAGUGAAGAUGACACGCAAGGUCACCGUGUUGUUCACGGUGCCGUAGAUGUUAGAAGCCACACACGUGUAUUUACCUCGGUCUGAGAAGGAUACCUUGGUGAUGUUCAGGAGGCCGCUGUCGUGCAUUUGCCAUUUUCCUGUCGGAAGGGAGAGAAGAG